rnacentral:lncRNA from 1 species
UUAAGUGCAUUUAGAUUGUGAUAUUAUAAAGGAGGAUCUAUAUGAAAACUUUGAAUGUCUAAGGUCUGUAUUUUGUAUGUCUGUCACUUUGAAUUUUAUAUAUUCGUAAUUUUCAUAUUCAUGAUAUGUAAAUUAUCAAUUGGUGUAAGAAAAUAUGAAGUAUUUAUCCUCGUUUCAACUUCCAAACAUUUUUGUCUUUUAAUUAAUAGUAUGCACACUUUGUUUUUGUAAUAUGUGCAUCCAAACCUAAAAUAACUAGUACAAUUAGCAUAAGCAAUCUAAUGGGUUCUUCGAAAUCGAUUUUGACGCAUGUGCGUUCUUUCGAACAUGAACUUUAGAAAGACAAGUGAAGCUUUUUUUUUUGGGGUUUUUUUUACUCACAUCAUAUAUAUUUUUUUUGUCUUGUUUUAGUUAUUUCUUUCUAUCUGUUUAUUGUUGAGUUUUCUUCUGGUCGCAACUGACUUAGCCCUUCGGAUCAUUAAUUUUAAUAUAAGUAUUUGGUCUAAAAAAAAGUAACCUAAUGGCAGGAUACAAUUCUGUGAGGGAUUUGACAGCUUUAACGUCCCACAAAUGCAAGUUUAUGGUCUGAUUCAGAUGUGAAUUAAUUCGCUAAUGAACCAUCGAUACGAGUUUUUAUAUCAUAUUUUAAAAUAUUUCAAAAUGUGGUACUAAGUGAAUUACAUAUUAUCAAAAGUUAUAUAAGCCAUUUAGCAUGUUGAAAUUAUAGUAAAAAUCUAUAUCAAAUUAUUAUUUCAUGAUAUUAGUAAUAUUAUAAAUUUCCAUAAUAGUAUCAUUAUUAUAAAUUUCAUAAUAGAAUCAUUAUGCAAAUCAAUGUUCUAAAAAUGCUAGACGGUGAUUAAGCGUCUUAUAAAGGACUAUUAUUUAGACGGAUGCCUA